rnacentral:rRNA from 1 species
GAUGAACGCUGGCGGCGUGCCUAAUACAUGCAAGUCGAGCGAACAGACGAGGAGCUUGCUCCUCUGACGUUAGCGGCGGACGGGUGAGUAACACGUGGAUAACCUACCUAUAAGACUGGGAUAACUUCGGGAAACCGGAGCUAAUACCGGAUAAUAUAUUGAACCGCAUGGUUCAAUAGUGAAAGACGGUUUUGCUGUCACUUAUAGAUGGAUCCGCGCCGCAUUAGCUAGUUGGUAAGGUAACGGCUUACCAAGGCAACGAUGCGUAGCCGACCUGAGAGGGUGAUCGGCCACACUGGAACUGAGACACGGUCCAGACUCCUACGGGAGGCAGCAGUAGGGAAUAUUCCGCAAUGGGCGAAAGCCUGACGGAGCAACGCCGCGUGAGUGAUGAAGGUCUUCGGAUCGUAAAACUCUGUUAUUAGGGAAGAACAAAUGUGUAAGUAACUAUGCACGUAUUGACGGUACCUAAUCAGAAAGCCACGGCUAACUACGUG